GACGAACGCUGGCGGCGUGCUUAACACAUGCAAGUCGAACGCUGAAGCUCAGCUUGCUGGGUGGAUGAGUGGCGAACGGGUGAGUAACACGUGAGUAACCUGCCCUCUUCUUUGGGAUAACGCCCGGAAACGGGAGCUAAUACUGGAUAUUCACUGAUUCUCGCAUGGGGGUUGGUGGAAAGGUUUUUUCUGGUGGGGGAUGGGCUCGCGGCCUAUCAGCUUGUUGGUGGGGUGAUGGCCUACCAAGGCUUUGACGGGUAGCCGGCCUGAGAGGGUGACCGGUCACAUUGGGACUGAGAUACGGCCCAGACUCCUACGGGAGGCAGCAGUGGGGAAUAUUGCACAAUGGGCGAAAGCCUGAUGCAGCGACGCCGCGUGAGGGAUGGAGGCCUUCGGGUUGUAAACCUCUUUCGCUCAUGGUCAAGCCGCAGCUUUGGGUUGUGGUGAGGGUAGUGGGUAAAGAAGCGCCGGCUAACUACGUG
rnacentral:rRNA from 1 species